CAGCAAUGUUCCUACAUCUAGUGGAAAGCCUUCCCAGAAGAGUGGAGGCUGUUAUAGCAGCAAUGUUCCUACAUCUAGUGGAAAGCCUUCCCAGAAGAGUGGAGGCUGUUAUAGCAGCAAUGUUCCAACAUCUAGUGGAAAGCCUUCCCAGAAGAGUGGAGGCUGUUAUAGGGGGGACCAACUCUAUAUUAAUGACCAUGAUUUUAGAAUGAGAUGUUGGAUAAGGUGUCCACAUACUUUUGGUCACAUAGUGUAUUUACAGCUAAAUAUAUACACAAUUAAAAUGACUACAUGCAAAUCAAUUACACUCAAUAUCAAUGGUCCCUUUAUAUAAACAAUACCUGAUGGGACGCAUCAUAGAACAACAGAACAC
ensembl:lncRNA